AACGAACGCUGGCGGCAGGCUUAACACAUGCAAGUCGAACGCCCCGCAAGGGGAGUGGCAGACGGGUGAGUAACGCGUGGGAAUCUACCCAUCUCUGCGGAAUAGCUCCGGGAAACUGGAAUUAAUACCGCAUACGCCCUACGGGGGAAAGAUUUAUCGGGGAUGGAUGAGCCCGCGUUGGAUUAGCUAGUUGGGGGGGUAAAGGCCUACCAAGGCGACGAUCCAUAGCUGGUCGGAGAGGAUGAUCAGCCACAUUGGGACUGAGACACGGCCCAAACUCCUACGGGAGGCAGCAGUGGGGAAUAUUGGACAAUGGGCGCAAGCCUGAUCCAGCCAUGCCGGGUGAGUGAUGAAGGCCUUAGGGUUGUAAAGCUCUUUCACCGGUGAAGAAAAUGACGGUAACCGGAGAAGAAGCCCCGGCUAACUUUGUGCCAGCCGCCGCAGUAA
rnacentral:rRNA from 1 species